rnacentral:rRNA from 1 species
AUUGAACGCUGGCGGCAGGCCUAACACAUGCAAGUCGAGCGAGCGGCGGACGGGUGAGUAAUGUCUGGGAAACUGCCUGAUGGAGGGGGAUAACUACUGGAAACGGUAGCUAAUCCCGCCUACCAUCAGAUGUGCCCAGAUGGGAUUAGCUAGUAGGUGGGGUAACGGCUCACCUAGGCGACGAUCCCUAGAUGGUCUGAGAGGAUGACCAGCCAAACUGGAACUGAGACACGGUCCAGACUCCGACGGUAGGAAGCAGUGGGGAAGAUCGCACAAUGGGCGAAAGCCUGAUGCAGCCAUGCGGCGUGUGGGAAGAAGGCCUGCGGGUUGUAAAGCACUUUCAGCGGGGAGGCGUUACCCGCAGAAGAAGCACCGGCUAACUCCGUGCCAGCAGCCGCGGUAAUUC